rnacentral:rRNA from 1 species
AGUGAACGCUGGCGGUAGGCCUAACACAUGCCAGUCGAACGGCAGCACAGUAAGAGCUUGCUCUUACGGGUGGCGAGUGGCGGACGGGUGAGGAAUACAUCGGAAUCUACUUUUUCGUGGGGGAUAACGUAGGGAAACUUACGCUAAUACCGCAUACGACCUACGGGUGAAAGCAGUGGAUCUUCGCACCUUGCGCGAUUGAAUGAGCCGAUGUCGGAUUAGCUAGUUGGCGGGGUAAAGGCCCACCAAGGCGACGAUCCGUAGCUGGUCUGAGAGGAUGAUCAGCCACACUGGAACUGAGACACGGUCCAGACUCCUACGGGAGGCAGCAGUGGGGAAUAUUGGACAAUGGGCGCAAGCCUGAUCCAGCCAUACCGCGUGGGUGAAGAAGGCCUUCGGGUUGUAAAGCCCUUUUGUUGGGAAAGAAAAGCAGCAGGUUAAUACCCCGCUGUUCUGACGGUACCCAAAGAAUAAGCACCGGCUAACUUCGUG